rnacentral:misc_RNA from 1 species
AACGCAAAUUGCGCCCGAGGUUUCGGCCGAGGGCAUGUCUGCUUGAGCGCCGCUGGACCCCCCUCGCCCACCCCGUCCCUUUUUUUUCAAAAGGGUCGGGCGGCGGAUGAUGGCCGCCUCGAAACAUGGGCGAGGCGUCGUCGCACUUUGUGCGGCGCGCUUCGCUCUCGAGCCGGCUGGAAUUCAUAGGCUCGCCCCCGGUUUGCACAUGGCACCCGGCGUGGACGACGCGUUCCCCCUGUGGAUGCGCCUCUGCUCGGAAUUGUCUGUGCGUGUUAGGUUUUUUUAAAACCACCGUGAGCGUGUCUUUGUCGUGCUCGGCAGUCGUCGUUUGAGGGCUCUUGCUUUCGAACGCGCCUCCGGUGUCACAGGAACUAUGUUCCCUACCUUGGCCUCAAGUCAGGCAGGAUUACCCGCUGAAUUUAA